CAGCAGACCCAAAGAUGAGCUGAUUGUUGAAACGUCUUCUGGAUGCCUCACGCGGGCAGAUUUUUGGGCACUGGGUUUAAACAAAGAAAUGGAAUCGACUAUUGCAAAUGGCUGUUUUGAGCUUAUCACUAAAAUUGUUCAGUCAAAGGGGAUAAGCAUUUACAUAGAAAAUCUGUAUGUCACCCGGACUUGGCUUGCACCCUAUGGCUGUGAUCCAUUGCAGUCCUUUCCUGUAAGUGUACCGUCUGGUGAGAGUUCAUAUACACAUAGGCAUCAUUUUAACCGGGGACGCCGGGGACAUGUCCCCGGCAAAAUUUGUGAUUGGCAGCUGUGUCCCCCCCCCCACUUUCAAAAACGCCUGCUGAUGAGGAUUUUUGUUUUACCAGCUCAGAUCUUAUACCAGGGGUCGGCAACCUGUUCCCAUCAAAGAGCCAUUAUUACCCGUUUCCCACGGUAAUUUUGGACGGACCUUAAUAAGCAGUGACUUAAGUGAAGCAGGCAGGUCGCGCUAGAAAAUUUAGUUUAAAAAGACGUCAUAAAUGUGUUUCCCCGUCCUUUUUAUUUAUAAAAUAUGAAGUAAAAACUCACAAUUCAAUUUUCAUUCAUUUGUCAUUAAUAUGUAGUCUACACCCGUGCGUUAAGUGGACCAUCUUCCAGUAAAAGCAAAGCAUCCAGCACCACCUCUCCAAAUGCGUAAAAUGUGCAUCAGCCGCUAGUUAGGCGCGCCGCGCGCACCAUCAGCUACGUCAGCCCAGACAAGAGCAGAGCAAAUAGAGAAAGAAUAGAGGAUAAUUGUGUCUGGAUGUGGAUGGAGAUUACAUUUUACAUCAGCCUGAUCAUCAUUUAAACACGUAAACCAUCACCUGUCUUCUAGUCCACGCUAUCAGCAUUAUUUUAAUUGGUGUGUGUGUGUGUGUGUGUGUGUGUGUGUGUGUUUUCCACUUCAAACACUGGUCUAACCAACCAGACCAGCGUGUCCAGUAACAUAUUAAUGUUACAAUUAAACAGUUUCCCUUCAUGUAGGCUAGGAACAUUUCACCUGCCGUGGCCCGACCGCUUCUGCUCCACAUAAACUUUGUGCGUGAUCAAAUGUCUCUACGCGUCAUGCGUCUCCAUAUUAGAGACGGGAACAAGCGCUAUUCAGCCAAAGUUUCAUAAUUUCAUAAAAAGAACAUUUUUCCAAGUGACACAUCCCUCAGAGAGACCAGGUGUCCAGACCGCUUCAGUGGGAGGAAAUCUUAUCGCAUGCGCCGGUUCUGCACUGCGCUGCGAACCUCAGAUCUUCAGCUCACUGUCCACCGUGCGCUCCGAGCCGCGCUGAACACAGUGUCCAGUAUAAAGCUCUGAUGUUCUGAUGGGAAUAAUUUACCUCUGCGAUGUGCGUUAACGAUUAAAAUGUCAGCUCAUCCAUGUGCAUCAGUGUGCGUCGGGGUAAUUCUUUCAAACCAAGCAACAUCCUUGAGUUCAUCUGUCAAAAUAAACAGUCAAAUGGAAAUAUAUGUAA